rnacentral:rRNA from 1 species
AAUGAACGCUGGCGGCAUGCCUAACACAUGCAAGUCGAACGAGACCUUCGGGUCUAGUGGCGCACGGGUGCGUAACGCGUGGGAAUCUGCCCUUGGGUUCGGAAUAACAGUGAGAAAUUACUGCUAAUACCGAAUGAUGACGUAAGUCCAAAGAUUUAUCGCCCAGGAUGAGCCCGCGUAGGAUUAGCUAGUUGGUGAGGU